GACGAACGCUGGCGGCGUGCUUAACACAUGCAAGUCGAACGGAAAGGCCCUGCUUUUGUGGGGUGCUCGAGUGGCGAACGGGUGAGUAACACGUGAGUAACCUGCCCUUGACUUUGGGAUAACUUCAGGAAACUGGGGCUAAUACCGGAUAGGAGCUCCUGCUGCAUGGUGGGGGUUGGAAAGUUUCGGCGGUUGGGGAUGGACUCGCGGCUUAUCAGCUUGUUGGUGGGGUAGUGGCUUACCAAGGCUUUGACGGGUAGCCGGCCUGAGAGGGUGACCGGCCACAUUGGGACUGAGAUACGGCCCGGACUCCUACGGGAGGCAGCAGUGGGGAAUAUUGCACAAUGGGCGGAAGCCUGAUGCAGCAACGCCGCGUGCGGGAUGACGGCCUUCGGGUUGUAAACCGCUUUCGCCUGUGACGAAGCGUGAGUGACGGUAAUGGGUGAAGAAGCACCUGCUAACUACGUG
rnacentral:rRNA from 1 species